UCCAUAAACUCGGAAUUUGUCGUCAUGCCUUUAAUGCCUCAUUCAUUUAACAGUUCUUAUUUUGUUUCAAGAUAAAAACAGUGAAACCAGUUCUUCUAAGAACCCGCCCAUCAGUACCACGCUCCUCAACUUUACAUUGAAAAUCUCUCCAUCGAAUGCUUCGAGCGGAAUACCGACCGACACAUGCCUUCGAGGAUUUCUGAUAUUAAUUAGAAUUUAGAAAACAAAUCCGAGUCCAGAGGAAUGUGCUAUAUGCAGUUCUCGUAAAAUACAAUUAGUUAAAUGAGAGUGGAAGGUAAGUUUCUAAAGCCAAGCAAAGUCUUUAUUGUUUAUUCCCUCUCCUGCUCGUUCUCUGGGGUUCAUAUGAAUUGAGGCUUAGGUUGGUUUUGGGUGAGCUAACAUAAAUAAAUUCCCUGCACUUCGAAUGCACAAGUUCUGUUUGGCUCUAAUGAGCAAAGCUCUUCUGUUUGCAGCUUGUGUGUUGAUUUUAGUUCGAAAUACUGUAAAUACUGGUUAUCAUACAUAUAUGUACAUAUUUUAGCUUGAUUCUGAAAUGUUCCAAGUAAAUAGGAUAGCCAAUAUAAAUUUAUAAAUCUUUUCCAUGACCGAAGAAUAUAUAACAUAUAAUAUAAUUAAAAAAAUAAACAAACAUUUAUAACAAUGUCAAUACAUUUUUAAUACAAAUAAGUAUCUGAAACAUUUAAUUGUGUGCCACGACGAGAACAAUAUCAGCACACCCAGAGCAUAAAAUGGGAAAAUGAAUGGCAAUUAGAGGUGUCAGAAAAUAAUUCAAUUCGCUUCAGUUAAUUAGCCCACAAAUAACAUCAAUGGCAAAAUGUGCUGUCCAAGUGGGUUGUGGUUGGAGAUUGCAAACACGCACAAUAUAGAUUUAUAUUGAUGUGAUGGACAAACAUUUGUCUAAAAUCAAAUUCGGACAUUAAUUAAAUGCCCAUUUGUGGUGGAACAGAAAGAUGGCACUGAUAGAUAAGCGAAUUACAUGGAAAAGAGCCCCGCAGCAUUUAUAUACAUGCGUGCGAAUUUCUGCACUAAUUAACAUUCGCUUUGAUCCGUUUGGAUAUAAUUAUAUUUUAUUUAUUUGUUAGUUUGAUACUAAAUUAUGGUUUUAAGACCGCGGACAGCCUA